AUUGGGCGUAAGAGCUCGUAGGCGGUUUGUCGCGUCUGCUGUGAAAUCCCGAGGCUCAACCUCGGGCUUGCAGUGGGUACGGGCAGACUAGAGUGCGGUAGGGGAGAUUGGAAUUCCUGGUGUAGCGGUGGAAUGCGCAGAUAUCAGGAGGAACACCGAUGGCGAAGGCAGAUCUCUGGGCCGUAACUGACGCUGAGGAGCGAAAGCAUGGGGAGCGAACAGGAUUAGAUACCCUGGUAGUCCAUGCCGUAAACGUUGGGCGCUAGAUGUAGGGACCUUUCCACGGUUUCUGUGUCGUAGCUAACGCAUUAAGCGCCCCGCCUGGGGAGUACGGCCGCAAGGCUAAAACUCAAAGGAAUUGACGGGGGCCCGCACAAGCGGCGGAGCAUGCGGAUUAAUUCGAUGCAACGCGAAGAACCUUACCAAGGCUUGACAUACACCGGAAACGGCCAGAGAUGGUCGCCCCCUUGUGGUCGGUGUACAGGUGGUGCAUGGUUGUCGUCAGCUCGUGUCGUGAGAUGUUGGGUUAAGUCCCGCAACGAGCGCAACCCUCGUUCUAUGUUGCCAGCGGGUUAUGCCGGGGACUCAUAGGAGACUGCCGGGGUCAACUCGGAGGAAGGUGGGGAUGACGUCAAAUCAUCAUGCCCCUUAUGUCUUGGGCUUCACGCAUGCUACAAUGGCCGGUACAAAGGGCUGCGAUACCGUAAGGUGGAGCGAAUCCCAAAAAGCCGGUCUCAGUUCGGAUUGAGGUCUGCAACUCGACCUCAUGAAGUCGGAGUCGCUAGUAAUCGCAGAUCAGCAACGCUGCGGUGAAUACGUUCCCGGGCCUUGUACACACCGCCCGUCAAGUCAUGAAAGUCGGUAACACCCGAAGCCGGUGGCUAACCCUUG
rnacentral:rRNA from 2 species